rnacentral:misc_RNA from 1 species
UAUUCUCAGAGUCCUAAGCCGGUUCGUCCUGCUGUUAAAAGCCCUCCAGUCUCACAGUUGGAUGAACUUGAGGAUUUCGCCAGGGGUUGGUCUAAGAGUAGUAUUGAUGAAAAUGCUGAUGCUCUUUCUGGAGAAGAUAUGAAUGGAAACUCUGUAGCUGCUGCAUCAGCAGCUGCAAUGAAGGAGGUUAUGGAUAGAGCUGAGGCCAAAUUUAGACAUGCUAAGGAA